AUUGAACGCUGGCGGCAGGCCUAACACAUGCAAGUCGAACGAGUGGCGGACGGGUGAGUAAUGUCUGGGAAACUGCCUGAUGGAGGGGAAUAACUACUGGAAACGGUAGCUAAUACCGCAUACCAUCAGAUGUGCCCAGAUGGUAUUAGCUAGUUGGUGGGGUAACGGCUCACCAAGGCGACGAUCCCUAGCUGGUCUGAGAGGAUGACCAGCCACACUGGAGCUGAGACACGGUCAGAACUCCUACGGUAGGCAGCAGUGGGGAAUGUGGCACAAUGUGAGAAAGCCUGAUGCACCCAGGCCGCGUGUAUGAAGAAGGCCUUCGGGUUGUAAAGUACGUUCAGCGGGGAGGCGUUACCCGCACAAGAAGCCCCGGCUAACUCCGUGCCAGCAGCCGCGGUAAUUC
rnacentral:rRNA from 1 species